rnacentral:rRNA from 1 species
CAAGGAGUCUAACAUGUGCGCAAGUCAUUGGGUUAGUAAACCUAAAGGCGAAACAAAAGUAAAGUAAGCAAUGCUUUAAAAUAAGGAGGAUGGUUAUUUAAUUUUUUUUAAAUAGCCCGCACUCCUGGGGCGUCUGUUACUCAUUGCGAGUUAAGGCGCACCUAGAGCGUACACGUUGGGACCCGAAAGAUGGUGAACUAUGCUUGGCCAGGAUGAAGUCAGGGGAAACCCUGAUGGAGGUCCGUAGCGAUUCUGACGUGCAAAUCGAUCGUCAGAGCUAAGUAUAGGGGCGAAAGACCAAUCGAACUAUCUAGUAGCUGGUUCCCUCCGAAGUUUCCCUCAGGAUAGCUGGUGCCAAUGAUGAUAUUGAGUCUCAUCUGGUAAAGCGAAUGAUUAGAGGCAUUGGGGCCGAAACGACCUCAACCUAUUCUCAAACUUUAAAUGGAUGAGAGCCCUGGCUUGCUUAAAAUUGAAGCCAGGGAGUUGGAUCUAGGUGCCAAGUGGGCCAAUUUUGG